rnacentral:misc_RNA from 1 species
ACGAUUGUCGGGGCCCUCGGGUCCCAACUCCAACCCUAUGAUUACUUCAAACGUUUGCUUCGGUGGGACGGCGCCUCCGCCGCCGGCCCUCGGGCUGGAGAGCGCCCGCCGAUGGCGGUACCAAACUCUGUUUGCACCUGUGAAGUCUGAGUUAUUUAAGAAUAAAGCA